GAACCCACGCACGUUGAAAAGUGCGGGGAUGAGGUGUGGGUAGCGGAGAAAUUCCAAUCGAACCUGGAGAUAGCUGGUUCUCCCCGAAAUAGCUUUAGGGCUAGCCUUAAGUGUAAGAGUCUUGGAGGUAGAGCACUGAUUGGACUAGGGGUCCUCAUCGGAUUACCGAAUUCAGUCAAACUCCGAAUGCCAAUGACUUAUCCUUAGGAGUCAGACUGCGAGUGAUAAGAUCCGUAGUCAAAAGGGAAACAGCCCAGACCGCCAGCUAAGGUCCCAAAGUGUGUAUUAAGUGGAAAAGGAUGUGGAGUUGCUUAGACAACUAGGAUGUUGGCUUAGAAGCAGCCACCAUUUAAAGAGUGCGUAAUAGCUCACUAGUCGAGUGACUCUGCGCCGAAAAUGUACCGGGGCUAAAUACACCACCGAAGCUGCGGAUUGAUACCAAUGGUAUCAGUGGUAGGGGAGCGUUCUAAGGACAGUGAAGUCAGACCGGAAGGACUGGUGGAGUGCUUAGAAGUGAGAAUGCCGGUAUGAGUAGCGAAAGACGGGUGAGAAUCCCGUCCACCGAAUGCCUAAGGUUUCCUGAGGAAGGCUCGUCCGCUCAGGGUUAGUCAGGACCUAAGCCGAGGCCGACAGGCGUAGGCGAUGGACAACAGGUUGAUAUUCCUGUACCACCUCUUUAUCGUUUGAGCAAUGGAGGGACGCAGAAGGAUAGAAGAAGCGUGCGAUUGGUUGUGCACGUCCAAGCAGUUAGGCUGAUAAGUAGGCAAAUCCGCUUAUCGUGAAGGCUGAGCUGUGAUGGGGAAGCUCCUUAUGGAGCGAAGUCUUUGAUUCCCCGCUGCCAAGAAAAGCUUCUAGCGAGAUAAAAGGUGCCUGUACCGCAAACCGACACAGGUAGGCGAGGAGAGAAUCCUAAGGUGUGCGAGAGAACUCUGGUUAAGGAACUCGGCAAAAUGACCCCGUAACUUCGGGAGAAGGGGUGCUUUCUUAACGGAAAGCCGCAGUGAAUAGGCCCAAGCGACUGUUUAGCAAAAACACAGCUCUCUGCGAAGCCGUAAGGCGAAGUAUAGGGGWGACACCUGCCCGGUGMUGGAAGGUUAAGGAGAGGGGUUAGCGUAAGCGAAGCUCUGAACUGAAGCCCCAGUAAACGGCGGCCGUAACUAUAACGGUCCUAAGGUAGCGAAAUUCCUUGUCGGGUAAGUUCCGACCCGCACGAAAGGUGUAACGAUUUGGGCACUGUCUCAACCAGAGACUCGGUGAAAUUAUAGUACCUGUGAAGAUGCAGGUUACCCGCGACAGGACGGAAAGACCCCGUGGAGCUUUACUGUAGCCUGAUAUUGAAUUUUGGUACAGUUUGUACAGGAUAGGCGGGAGCCUUUGAAACCGGAGCGCUAGCUUCGGUGGAGGCGCUGGUGGGAUACCGCCCUGACUGUAUUGAAAUUCUAACYUACGGGUCUUAUCGACCCGGGAGACAGUGUCAGGUGGGCAGUUUGACUGGGGCGGUCGCCUCCUAAAGUGUAACGGAGGCGCCCAAAGGUUCCCUCAGAAUGGUUGGAAAUCAUUCGUAGAGUGCAAAGGCAUAAGGGAGCUUGACUGCGAGACCUACAAGUCGAGCAGGGACGAAAGUCGGGCUUAGUGAUCCGGUGGUUCCGCAUGGAAGGGCCAUCGCUCAACGGAUAAAAGCUACCCCGGGGAUAACAGGCUUAUCUCCCCCAAGAGUCCACAUCGACGGGGAGGUUUGGCACCUCGAUGUCGGCUCAUCGCAUCCUGGGGCUGUAGUCGGUCCCUAUCCGUCGUGGGCGUAGGAAAUUUGAGAGGAGCUGUCCUUAGUACGAGAGGACCGGGAUGGACGCACCGCUGGUGUACCAGUUGUUCUGCCAAGGGCAUAGCUGGGUAGCUAUGUGCGGAAGGGAUAAGUGCUGAAAGCAUCUAAGCAUGAAGCCCCCCUCAAGAUGAGAUUUCCCAUAGCGUAAGCUAGU
rnacentral:rRNA from 1 species